CAGCCGCCGCGGUAAUACGUAGGGUGCAAGCGUUACUCGGAAUUACUGGGCGUAAAGCGUGCGCAGGCGGUUCGGAAAGAAAGAUGUGAAAUCCCAGAGCUUAACUUUGGAACUGCAUUUUUAACUACCGGGCUAGAGUGUGUCAGAGGGAGGUGGAAUUCCGCGUGUAGCAGUGAAAUGCGUAGAUAUGCGGAGGAACACCGAUGGCGAAGGCAGCCUCCUGGGAUAACACUGACGCUCAUGCACGAAAGCGUGGGGAGCAAACAGGAUUAGAUACCCUGGUAGUCCACGCCCUAAACGAUGUCAACUAGCUGUUGGGGCCUUCGGGCCUUGGUAGCGCAGCUAACGCGUGAAGUUGACCGCCUGGGGAGUACGGUCGCAAGAUUAAAACUUAAAGGAAUUGGCGGG
rnacentral:rRNA from 1 species